AAAAAAUAUCAAAUGAAAUGAAAUGAAUAAACAAACAAACUGUGGUCCAAUUGACUGAGAUACUUGCCGAAAAACAUAUGUAGAGAUAUCUAAGGUGGUUGGCAACAACGAUUUGAUUUUGGAAUUUUGACACAACAUGUGAAUUUCCAACAAACUUUGAUCAUCACGACACAAUUUCAAAAUAUUCGUAUCAUUUUAUUUUCAUUUAUUUACAAUAAAAAUUCCCCAGAAAACAAAAAGAACAACAGCAGAAAAAAAAUCCCGUUUUGCAAACAAUCGUUGAGCGAAGCGUCUGCCAGGUUUCCAUGCGCGUUCAGCACUAAACGAAAAUGCCAACAAAAGAGAAUAAUACAGAAGAACGAGAGAGCAAGAGAGAGAGAACAAGAGAGCGAGAGAAUAACUGGGGCAGAAUAAACGAUCCGCAGUGAGCUUGCGCUUGAGGCUGCGCAACGGAUUUCGUAGACAAAACUAACAAAGUGAAUUUGAAAGUAGAGCAGAGGGACCGACGACAGAAUACCCUAGGUGUUUUGAAAUACAUAUUUGUUGUUCAAUAGUUGUACAUAACCUUCUUACAUUACUCGACGACGAAAUACUCUAGUUAAGCAGACAAAUUUAACUGUGAUGCAAUAAAUAAACAAAUUUCAAUAUGCUAUACGUUAAAAUGUAGAAAAAGUGUAAUAAAA